rnacentral:rRNA from 1 species
GAAUUCGCCCUUAGAGUUUGAUCCUGGCUCAGGACGAACGCUGGCGGCGUGCCUAACACAUGCAAGUCGAGCGGGGAAGAGGAGAUAGCUUGCUAACUCCUGUUUCUAGCGGCGGACGGGUGAGUAACGCGUGAGCAACCUGCCUUUAUCAGGGGGAUAACGCAUCGAAAGAUGUGCUAAUACCGCGUAAGACCACAGCCUCACAUGGGGCAGAGGUCAAAGGAGCAAUCCGGAUAAAGAUGGGCUCGCGUCCGAUUAGCUAGUUGGUGAGAUAACAGCCCACCAAGGCGACGAUCGGUAGCCGACCUGAGAGGGUGAUCGGCCACAUUGGAACUGAGAGACGGUCCAGACUCCUACGGGAGGCAGCAGUGGGGAAUAUUGGGCAAUGGGCGAAAGCCUGACCCAGCAACGCCGCGUGAGGGAAGAAGGGUUUCGGCUCGUAAACCUCUGUCCUAUGGGACGAAGGAAGUGACGGUACCAUAGGAGGAAGCCCCGGCUAACUACGUGCCAGCAGCCGCGGUAAUACGUAGGGGGCGAGCGUUGUCCGGAAUUACUGGGCGUAAAGGGCGUGUAGGCGGCGAUUUAAGUCUGGAGUGAAAGUCCUGCUUUUAAGGUGGGAAUUGCUUUGGAUACUGGAUGGCUAGAGUGCAGGAGAGGUUAGUGGAAUUCCCAGUGUAGCGGUGAAAUGCGUAGAGAUUGGGAGGAACACCAGUGGCGAAGGCGACUAACUGGACUGUAACUGACGCUGAGGCGCGAAAGUGUGGGGAGCAAACAAGAUUAGAUACCCUGGUAGUCCACACUGUAAACGA